rnacentral:rRNA from 1 species
AGACCCGAAACCCGGUGAUCUAGCCAUGGGCAGGUUGAAGGUUGGGUAACACUAACUGGAGGACCGAACCGACUAAUGUUGAAAAAUUAGCGGAUGACCUGUGGCUGGGGGUGAAAGGCCAAUCAAACCGGGAGAUAGCUGGUUCUCCCCGAAAGCUAUUUAGGUAGCGCCUCGUGAAUUCAUCUCCGGGGGUAGAGCACUGUUUCGGCUAGGGGGCCAUCCCGGCUUACCAACCCGAUGCAAACUGCGAAUACCGGAGAAUGUUAUCACGGGAGACACACGGCGGGUGCUAACGUCCGUCGUGAAGAGGGAAACAACCCAGACCGCCAGCUAAGGUCCCAAAGUCAUGGUUAAGUGGGAAACGAUGUGGGAAGGCCCAGACAGCCAGGAUGUUGGCUUAGAAGCAGCCAUCAUUUAAAGAAAGCGUAAUAGCUCACUGGUCGAGUCGGCCUGCGCGGAAGAUGUAACGGGGCUAAACCAUGCACCGAAGCUGCGGCAGCGACACUGUGUGUUGUUGGGUAGGGGAGCGUUCUGUAAGCCUGUGAAGGUGUGUCGUGAGGCAUGCUGGAGGUAUCAGAAGUGCGAAUGCUGACAUAAGUAACGAUAAAGCGGGUGAAAAGCCCGCUCGCCGGAAGACCAAGGGUUCCUGUCCAACGUUAAUCGGGGCAGGGUGAGUCGACCCCUAAGGCGAGGCCGAAAGGCGUAGUCGAUGGGAAACGGGUUAAUAUUCCCGUACUUGGUGUUACUGCGAAGGGGGGACGGAGAAGGCUAUGUUGGCCGGGCGACGGUUGUCCCGGUUUAAGCGUGUAGGUGUGUGUUCCAGGUAAAUCCGGUUCACUUUAACACUGAGGCGUGAUGACGAGGCACUACGGUGCUGAAGCAACAAAUGCCCUGCUUCCAGGAAAAGCCUCUAAGCAUCAGGUAACAUCAAAUCGUACCCCAAACCGACACAGGUGGUC